rnacentral:rRNA from 1 species
GACUCCAUGAAGCUGGAUUCGCUAGUAAUCGCGCAUCAGCCACGGCGCGGUGAAUACGUUCCCGGGCCUUGUACACACCGCCCGUCAAGCCAUGGAAGCCGGGGGUGCCUGAAGUGCGCUGCCGCAAGGAGCGCCCUAGGGUAAAACCGGUGACUGGGGCUAAGUCGUAACAAGGUAAC